rnacentral:rRNA from 1 species
UAGUACGGCGAGUGAGAGGGAAGAGCCCAAGAUUGAAAGCUGGCGCCUUCGGCGUCCGCAUUGUAAUCUCAAGAAGUGUUUUCCGCUUCGGACCAUGCCUAAGUCCCUUGGAAAAGGGCAUCAUAGAGGGUGAUAAUCCCGUACAUGGCAUGGAGCGCCCGAAGCUUUGUGAUACGCUUUCUAAGAGUCGAGUUGUUUGGGAAUGCAGCUCAAAAUGGGUGGUAAAUGCCAUCUAAGGCUAAAUAUUGGGGAGAGACCGAUAGCGAACAAGUACAGUGAUGGAAAGAUGAAAAGAACUUUGAAAAGAGAGUUAAACAGUACGUGAAAUUGCCAAAAGGGAAGGGUAGGAGGUCAGAGAUGCGUCGCAGGAUUCAGCCUUGCUUUUGCUUGGUGUUUUUCCUGCGUUGCAGGCCAACGUCGGUUUUGGGCACUGGAGAAGGGUAGGAGGAACGUGGCACCUCUCGGGGUGUGUUAUAGCCUCCUACUGGAUACAGCGACCGAGACCGAGGAACGCAGCGUACUCGUAAGAGCGGGCCUUUUGGCACCUUUACGCUUAGGGCGUUGGCAUAAUGGCCCUCUACCACCCGUC